AUUGAACGCUGGCGGCAGGCCUAACACAUGCAAGUCGAGCGGUAGAGCGAAGCUUGCUUCUCUUGAGAGCGGCGGACGGGUGAGUAAUGCCUAGGAAUCUGCCUGGUAGUGGGGGAUAACGUUCGGAAACGGACGCUAAUACUGCAUACGUCCUACGGGAGAAAGCAGGGGACCUUCGGGCCUUGCGCUAUCAGAUGAGCCUAGGUCGGAUUAGCUAGUUGGUGGGGUAAUGGCUCACCAAGGCGACGAUCCGUAACUGGUCUGAGAGGAUGAUCAGUCACACUGGAACUGGGACACGGUCCAUACUCCUACGGGAGGCAGCAGUGGGGAAUAUUGGACAAUGGGCGAAAGCCUGAUCCAGCCAUGCCGCGUGUGUGAAGAGGGUCUUCGGAUUGUAAAGCACUUUAAGUUGGGAGGAAGGGCAGUAGAUUAAUACUUUGCUGUUUUGACGUUACCGACAGAAUAAGCACCGGCUAACUCUGUG
rnacentral:rRNA from 1 species